UACGGAGGGUGCGAGCGUUGUCCGGAAUCACUGGGCGUAAAGGGGCGCGUAGGCGGCGCGGAAAAGUCGUCGGUGAAAAGCUCGGGGGCUCAACCCCUGAGUCUGCCGGUGAUACUCCCCGCGCUCGAGAUCACUAGAGGCAGAUGGAAUUCCGGGUGUAGCGGUGGAAUGCGUAGAGAUCCGGAAGAACACCGGUGGCGAAGGCGGGUCUG
rnacentral:rRNA from 1 species